GGUGGCGCAGUGGAUAAAGCAAUUGGCUGUUAACCAAAAGGUCGGUGGUUUGAACCCACCAGCUACUC
rnacentral:tRNA from 1 species